rnacentral:rRNA from 1 species
UACGUAGGGGGCAAGCGUUGUCCGGAUUUAUUGGGCGUAAAGCGCUCGCAGGUGGUCCGUCGCGUCGUGCGUGAAAGACCCCGGCUCAACUGGGGAGGGUCGUGCGAUACGGGCGGGCUGGGAUUCGGUAGGGGAGACUGGAAUUCCUGGUGUAGCGGUGAAAUGCGCAGAUAUCAGGAGGAACACCGGUGGCGAAGGCGGGUCUCUGGGCCGAUAUCGACGCUGAGGAGCGAAAGCGUGGGGAGCGAACAGG